ACUUUCUCAUUUUUAUAUUAAAAACUUGUAAUAAAAGCUAACUAGAUACGUUUAGAAAGCAAAUUAAAUAUAUAAUAUAAUAAUGUUUGGCUCUGGCUUACUUAUAUAAUAAAAGUAAAUGAAUACACAUGGUUUUCUUAGAGAGGAGUGAGGUAAGUAAAAGUUAAAAAGAAAUUUAAAAUUUCUUCAAGCUUUUAUUUUAAGUAUUAUUAAGUAUAUAAUGCUUAGUAAAGUCCCACUAACACCAGUGCUAGAGAUUAAAAAAGGACGCAAGUCUGGUUUAGAUUAGCUAUUUAAAUUUGGUCAACUUGGUGCCAGCAUCCGCGGUUACACCAAGAAAUUAAGUUAUAUAUAAUGGUAAAAAGACAGUUAAAUGAGUAAUCAGUUUUUUAUUAGCUUUUAUUCAAAAGUAAAAUUUAUAAAUAAAAGUUAAAACCCUAUAAAAAAUUUGAGUUGAAGCUGUGAAAAUCUCGAGGGAAACUGGGAUUAGAUACCCCAUUAUUCUUGAAGAUAAAUGAAUUUAUACCAGGGCACUACGAAUAAUUUUCAGAUUUAAAACCCAAAGAGCUUGGCGGUGUUUUAGACUAUUUAGGGGAACUUGUUUCGUAAUCGAUAAUCCACGAAAUACCUAACCUUCCUUUGUAAUCAGUAUGUAUACCGUUGUCGUCAGGUAACUUUUUAAAAUAAAAGAGUUAGCGAAAAAGCCAUGAGCUUACACGUCAAAUCAAGGUACAGCCUAUGGGGGGGAGAGAAUGAGUUACAAUUAAAAUUCAUAAUAACGAAAUAGAAAAAGAAAAUUUCUUUGAAGGCGGACUUAAAAGUAAAAAAAUUAUUAUAGAGAUUUUUUGAAUCCAGCUCUGAAACGUGCACACAUCGCCCGUCGCUCUCGCUGAAAAGUGAGAUAAGUCGUAACAUAGUAGGGGUAAUGGAAAUUGUCCCUAGAUGA
rnacentral:ncRNA from 1 species